GUAGGUGGCGAGCGUUAUCCGGAAUUACUGGGUGUAAAGGGUGUGUAGGCGGGCCUGCAAGUCAGAUGUGAAACCUAUGGGCUCAACCCAUAGCCUGCAUUUGAAACUGCGGGUCUUGAGAGUGGGAGAGGUAAACGGAAUUCCCGGUGUAGCAGUGAAAUGCGUAGAUAUCGGGAGGAACACCGGUGGCGAAGGCGGUUUACUGGACCACAACUGACGCUGAGACACGAAAGCGUGGGGAGCAAACAGGAUUAGAUACCCUGGUAGUCCACGCCCUAAACGAUGAAUGCUAGGUGUGGGGGAGUUAUCUUCCGUGCCGGAGUAAACACAAUAAGCAUUCCACCUGGGGAGUACGGCCGCAAGGUUG
rnacentral:rRNA from 1 species